UAGACUAGAGCAUUCAGUACUUAAGUUACUACUGAUGAUCUUGAGUGAUUGAAUGUCUUUGAAGUUUCAUGAUAACAGUAUACUAUUCAAGUCUAUUAUAGUAUAAUUAUUUGAUUGGUGAGUAGAGCAACCAACUAAUCUCAACUGUCCCCUCCUCCCCACACCUACACAGAACAAGGUGUCCUCACAUGAUUCAGAGGAACGAUACGUAACCAACAACCGUCCACCUUCCCCCGGCUCUGUCACUGACUACUAUCUCCUCCCAGACAGAAAACGGAAGAGAUGUCGACACUCAAUCCUUUGAAUCCCACGAGCUCAACUCUCUGGCCUCUACUCCAGUUAGUCAGAGGAAGACAAACGUCCUAGUCUCUGAGAGUGUGGAUGUCAAAGUCAGAGCAAAAUCUAUCAAGACUCCAGACGUGUUCUUUGCCAAUCCCAGCGCAGAGGAGGCACUAAAGGAUGAGAAGUUGGAGACACUGGAUACCAAUUUUGACGAAGUGGUUCAUUUGCCAACCACCAGCCAAAAUAUCUACUCCACCAAUACCAACGGCAGUACCAACAACAAUACUGUGGCAUAUGAGAGCAGGACUCCCUCUGCUGCCACUGUUGCCCACAGCCUGCUCCCACCUCCCUCAGCCACGCCCUCACAGUCCUCUGAGAGUACGAAGGUCAAGAAGUACGAGAGCAUGAAGGUGGAGGACAUUGAGAACUAAAUCACUGACGCUUGCAAAAAAAAACAUUAGUAGUGUACUCCUAUUUAUUCUUGUAUGAAAGAGCAAUGUUGUUUUGUCAUAUAAUUAUUAUAGCGAUUAUCUUUAGAAUCCGAUAAUCUAUAUCAAUAAUAUUUUUGUGUAAAUUAA